CGGUGACGACCAGCUUGCUGGUCUGAUCAGUGGCGAACGGGUGAGUAACACGUGAGCAACCUGCCCUUCACUCUGGGAUAAGCCUUGGAAACGAGGUCUAAUACCGGAUACGACGCACCUGGGCAUCUGGUGUGCGUGGAAAGAUUUUUCGGUGGAGGAUGGGCUCGCGGCCUAUCAGCUUGUUGGUGGGGUGAUGGCCUACCAAGGCGACGACGGGUAGCCGGCCUGAGAGGGCGACCGGCCACACUGGGACUGAGACACGGCCCAGACUCCUACGGGAGGCAGCAGUGGGGAAUAUUGCACAAUGGGCGCAAGCCUGAUGCAGCGACGCCGCGUGAGGGAUGACGGCCUUCGGGUUGUAAACCUCUUUCAGCAGGGAAGAAGCGCAAGUGACGGUACCUGCAGAAGAAGCGCCGGCUAACUACGUGCCAGCAGCCGCGG
rnacentral:rRNA from 1 species